AUGUCUCUGCAACCCAGGAACCUCGGGGACGUUGCUGGCACCGCACUGACGGCGGAGAUGCUGCACUGUAAGUGGUGGGUGCCUGUCGCCAGCUCAGCUGUGACCCUGCUGCUCUGCGCUCUGCUCCUGCUGCUGCUUUACAUCAUGCUCAGCAGGAAAAUAGACAGGCACUGCUGCAGCGUGCAGGUGAGCGGUGGUCCUGCAGCACAGCCCCAGCGGCUGCCCACCUCUUCAGCUGGAGGGGAAGGGGUGCAACGACCGAACUAUACGGAAGGGAGCAGCGAGACGUCUUCAGAGACCUCAGAGGAUUCGGACAGCAGCUCUCUGCACCCACAGGAAAGGAAAACCGGCUCAAAGGAAAACCUCAACUACACAUCCGUGGUGUUCCCGGGGAAGGGCCACAGGCAGGGCUCCAGUAGGAACUACGAGAACAUAAAGAUGGGCACUGAUUACGUCAACGUGGACCCAAAAAAGAAGAAAAGAGAUUUCUGGACCUGCUCCAGCCCCGUGGCAUCCGCGUCCAUCGAGUACACGGAGGUGAAGCUGUGACACUCCCUGGGGUCCCGCUGCAGCCGCCACUCUGUGCCCAGACCGCCACGAGCUCUGCACAUGUGUGAACGCUGCUUUCUCAUCUUGUGAAAGCAAACGCUGCCCCAGCAGGAUGUGGGCCAGAGAGGGAAAUGCAAUCGUUUCCAAAACGUCUCUCCAUUGGGCUGGCAUCUCCUAUGAAUCAUGCUUCCUUUGCUGACUGCUGUCAUAAAGACCUUUUGAAUACACUCCAUCCUCCGGCUUCACCCUUCCUGCCCCCACACUGAGCCCUCCUCCCUGCACCCCAAUUUCCUUUGAUGCUAAACCCCCUCAGGGCCCCAUCACCCCAUCACCUGGCACUGGGGUGGGCACUGUGGGCAUUGCCUCUCUCAGCUGUUGGAGAUCCCUCUGGAUGUGGGAGAAGCAGGAUGGGACCGUGGCAUCUGUGCAUGAGUAAAUCACUGCACUGCAUUUUCCCUGUCUCCCACCUUCUGCUUUCCCUGCAGCAAACAUGUGGGGUGCAGGAGGUGAUCUUCCCCACCCGAGCUGUGCCCACCCCAGGGUGAGUGUGGCUUCCACCUCAGCUGCAGCUUGGUGUGACCGACCAUGGCUCACCUGGGAUGCUGCAGGGCCAGCAGGAAGAAAUCCCAUUGCCUCCAGGUCCCAUGCCCUGCAGGUGCUCUGCUCCCCACUAAAUAAGACAAAAGCAGCGGCAGCGAUUUGAGAAUGGCUCUUUAAUGAAGUGCAGCAGCUGUUCAGCAGCGCAGAGCAGCACUGUGCAAUGGCUGCUGACUGCAGGAAGGAGAAACCUGGUGGGAGGGAGGCAGGGUCUGUCUGGGUGAGCUGGGGGUGGGCCAGGGCUCUUCCAGGUGUCUCCUCUGUGGUGUCCGUGCUGCAUUUGGGGUGCUUGUACUGCUGCACUGCAGUGCAUGGCAGUGCUGCAGAGGGGAAAUACCUGAUGCAGUGCAAUGCUGCAGAGAGCAAUGCAAUGCAAUGCAGUGGUCAUGUGUGCUGCAGCCCUGGGGACAUGUGCAGAGCCACAGGGCAGGGAGAAGCCAUUUGCAUUGGCUGCUCCACCAGCAAAGCCGUGAGGCUGGGAGAUGGGCAAU
ensembl:lncRNA